GAAAAGUGGAAACGGAUUCAUAUGAUGAAGAAAUACACUGAUCUCCUAUUGGCUUUUGCUAAUACUGGACCCAGCACAUUGCCAGACACAUAGUAGGCACUCAGUUUACAUAAUGAAUGGAUUGAUGAAGAAGGAUCGGAUUUGACACCAAUCCUGUAUGAUAUAAGAGGACCUGGACUGGACUGAGGAGAGAAACACCCACCAGUCACACCUGGUAACCAACAGAUAAGGAAUAAUCAGUCCCGGAAUGUGGUGUUAUUUUAUUGUUGCAACUAAUUGUUAAGAGCCAACCUCAAUGCAAAGUGUGGAAAUGUACUCAACCUAUGGGAACACAAAAGACA